rnacentral:rRNA from 1 species
CCUACGGGAGGCUGCAGUAGGGAAUCUUCCACAAUGGGCGAAAGCCUGAUGGAGCAACGCCGCGUGGGUGAAGAAUGUCUUCGGAUCGUAAAACCCUGUUGUUAGAGAAGAAAGUGCGUCAGAGUAACUGUUAACGUUUCGACGGUAUCUAACCAGAAAGCCACGGCUAACUACGUGCCAGCAGCCGCGGUAAUACGUAGGUGGCAAGCGUUAUCCGGAUUUAUUGGGCGUAAAGGGAACGCAGUCGGUCUUUUAAGUCUGAUGUGAAAGCCUUCGGCUUAACCGGAGUAGUGCAUUGGAAACUGGGAGACUUGAGUGCAGAAGAGGAGAGUGGAACUCCAUGUGUAGCGGUGAAAUGCGUAGAUAUAUGGAAGAACACCAGUGGCGAAAGCGGCUCUCUGGUCUGUAACUGACGCUGAGGUUCGAAAGCGUGGGUAGCAAACAGGAUUAGAUACCCGUGUAGUC